UGUUUUGUGUCAGAGAACAUUGAGAAGAGUGGUUCAGGCUUGCUCUUAGAAUGUGGGGUGGAAUGGGAGUGAAUGGUGGGAAUGGGGGUGCGGCUGAGGAGCGACCCAGGGAGGAAGUGGGUGCCUGCAGUGUGCUGGUUCAGGCUGGGAGGGAAAUAGCAGUGGACCUUCUCUGAUAGGGGCUCUUGGAGCUGCUAUCCUAAACAUGGGAGUAAACCAAGCAAAUAGCAAUGGGGACCAGGGAUGUAACUCAGUAGAGCACCUGCCUAGUAUAUAGAAGGUUCUAGAUUCAAGUCCCAGCACUAAAUACAUCCCAGUGUAGUGGCACACCCCUGUAAUCUCUGCCACAGUUGGAGACAGUAAAAUCAGAAGUUCAAGGUUGCCAUCAGCUUCAUGGUGAGUUCCAGGCCAGCACAGGCCAUGGGAGACCCUCUCUUCAACAAAUCCAAUCCAAUCCAAUCCAAUCCAAUCCAAUCCAAUCCAAUCCAAUCCAGUCAAAUCAAAUCAAAUCAAAUCAAAUCAAAUCAAAUCAAAUCAAAUCAAAUCAAACAAAAUACCAACUGAAAAGUCCCCAUUCUUAAGAGUCCUAUGUUGGGCCCCACUAAAAGGGAAGGACACCUGGAUAACUUCAUGAGAGAUAAAGGCUGUGAAACUGAGCCUGUGGGAUGAAUGUCUGGGAUGUGUUCUGAUGUAAGGUUUGGGGGUGUUAAUCUUAGAAACCAGGAUGUCAGAGGGAGGUUGCUUUCAGUCAAAUGCUUCCUCCUGGUUUGAGAGACGAAGCAAAAGAAGCCUGGGGUGCGUUUGCCAACCCCUGCCCCUGUGUCAUGGAAGCAGGGCCACCUUGCUGGCAGGUCCAUCCUAUGGAAGGGAGACACUGAGGACCGAUUUACUAUCAGGGAAGCCCAUGCAGAGAAGGAAGUGAGGAAAUGGCUGUCAGGCAGAGACCGGAUGUCACACCAGCUUAUACCAGUUCAAGCAGCAAACUGAGAACACAAUGCAGGCUCCUUUGAUCUUCUUGAGACAAGACAGCUCACCUUGUGUUCAUCUCUUGUCUGCCCUGUGGGGGACUGUGGGGGCCAAUUCCAGAAGGUCAGGAGGCCCAUGACCUUGCAUUGUAAAAAUCGAAAGGUCUGGCUUUUUAUUGGACCUAUUUUGUUCUCCUGCGGACACCCUGCGGAGGGGAGGACGGACUGCUAGCCUCAGAGAAAAUUCCCUCACUCUCCCCUCACAUCCUCAGCUCUAAGCAUGGCUAAGAUCACGUAUGCUGCUGCAGAUGCUGAUUCCGGCUCUCCAUGACCAGUGACUUCUCACGCCGCCGUUGCUGUGAGCUUCUCCUGGAGCUGAAGCUGUGAUUUUUCUCUUAGGACUUAGCAUACCACAGAUCCCAGGACCUAGAGGUUUGGGAUGUGGCUCAAAUAAUUAUGCGUUUUGGCCGUCAGAAUCCCACACGCAUGGGAGCCAUCCCAAGUGAGGCCAGAGCUCUUCUCUGCCCUGCCUGGACUGGAAUGGUGUCCCUCCUCCAUCUUUCCCCUCCCUCUGAGAAUCACCAGCAAGGACAGGGAACCAGCCUGCAGAAACCUCAGGGUUAAGUGAGAUGGACUUAAGGAGGGAUGGUCCACUACAGAGGUACGGCUCCGUGGCUAUUAAUAAUCAGAGUCUUUUGGGAAAUCUCACAAACCCUCAGAGGGCUGAGGGAGAGUUUGCCAAGUCCUUCUGACUUCUCUUCCCUGACCACCCCCCACUCUGCGAGUCAAUGGCUUUGAACUGGAACUUCAAAGAGAAACCGGACUCUUUUCUUCAAACAGGUUUAUAAAGAGAUUUUGAUACAAGACAACAAUACUUGUCAGCGGUGCCCGGUUAUCGCCCUUCCCUUUGUAGUUUUAUUAGGAAAUAAUUUCCCUGCCGCUGCGGCUCCUGCUGGCUCGCCUUGUUUCUCCAUUUGUGAUCCGAUCUGCCCACCAGAGGGGCUAUCCCUCACUCCACUGAAGCUUUGCCAGCUGGGGGCUUCCAGAAAGACAUCACAGGAAGGGCCUCACCGAGCCAAUCCGUCAUUUGCCCCUCCCCUGCCCUAACCAUCUCUGUG
rnacentral:lncRNA from 1 species